rnacentral:rRNA from 1 species
GACGAACGCUGGCGGCGUGCUUAAUACAUGCAAGUCGAACGGAAAGGCGCCUUUGGGGGUACUCGAGUGGCGACCGGGUGCGUAACACGUGAGUAACCUGCCCCUGACUUUGGGAUAACUUCAGGAACCUGGGGCCAAUACCGGAUCGGAAUAAUUGCUGCAUGGUGAGGGUUGGAAAGCUUAGGAGGUUUUGGCUGGACUCGAGGCGUAUCAGCUUGUUGGUGGGGUAGUGGCUUACCAAAGCGUUGACGGGAAGCCGGACUGAGAAGGCGACCGGCCACAUUGAGACUUAGGUGCGGCCCAGACUCCUACUGGAGGCAGCAGGGGGGAAGAUUGCACAAGGAGCGGAGGCUGGAUGCAGCAACGCCGCGUGCGGGAUGACGGCCUUCGGGUUGAAAACCGCUUUCAGCAGUGGCUAAGCUUGUGGUGACGGUACCUGCAGAAGAAGCACCGGCUAACUACGUG